rnacentral:rRNA from 1 species
AUUGAACGCUGGCGGCAUGCCUUACACAUGCAAGUCGAACGGUAACAGGUCUUCGGAUGCUGACGAGUGGCGCACGGGUGAAUAAUACAUCGGAACGUGCCUAGUAGUGGGGGAUAACUACUCGAAAGAGUGGCUAAUACCGCAUGAGAUCUACGGAUGAAAGCAGGGGAUCGCAAGACCUUGUGCUACUAGAGCGGCCGAUGGCAGAUUAGGUAGUUGGUGGGAUAAAAGCUUACCAAGCCGACGAUCUGUAGCUGGUCUGAGAGGACGAUCAGCCACACUGGGACUGAGACACGGCCCAGACUCCUACGGGAGGCAGCAGUGGGGAAUUUUGGACAAUGGGCGCAAGCCUGAUCCAGCAAUGCCGCGUGCAGGAUGAAGGCCUUCGGGUUGUAAACUGCUUUUGUACGGAACGAAAAGCCCUGGGUUAAUACCCUGGGGUCAUGACGGUACCGUAAGAAUAAGCACCGGCUAACUACGUGCCAGCAGCCGCCGUAAAAC